GAAUUCACUAGUGAUUGGAUCNCAGGCCUAACACAUGCAAGUCGAACGAGAUCUUCGGAUCUAGUGGCGCACGGGUGCGUAACGCGUGGGAAUCUGCCCUUGGGUUCGGAAUAACAGUUAGAAAUGACUGCUAAUACCGGAUGAAGUCUACGGACCAAAGAUUUAUCGCCCAGGGAUGAGCCCGCGUAGGAUUAGCUAGUUGGUGGGGUAAAGGCCUACCAAGGCGACGAUCCUUAGCUGGUCUGAGAGGAUGAUCAGCCACACUAGGACUGAGACACGGCCCAGACUCCUACGGGAGGCAGCAGUGGGGAAUAUUGGACAAUGGGGGCAACCCUGAUCCAGCAAUGCCGCGUGAGUGAUGAAGGCCUUCGGGUCGUAAAGCUCUUUUACCCGGGAUGAUAAUGACAGUACCGGGAGAAUAAGCCCCGGCUAACUCCGUG
rnacentral:rRNA from 1 species